ACACGACUCUCGGCAAUGGAUAUCUCGGCUCUCGCAUCGAUGAAGAGCGCAGCGAAAUGCGAUACGUGGUGCGAAUUGCAGAAUCCCGCGAACCAUCGAGUCUUUGAACGCAAGUUGCGCCCGAGGCCAACCGGCCAAGGGCACGUCCGCCUGGGCGUCGAUC
rnacentral:rRNA from 2 species